UGGGGAAUAUUGCACAAUGGAGGAAACUCUGAUGCAGCGACGCCGCGUGAACGACGAAGGCCUUCGGGUCGUAUAGUUCUGUCCUUGGGAAAGAUAACGACGGUACCCAAGGAGGAAGCCCCGGCUAACUACGUGCCAGCAGCCGCGGUAAUUCGUAGGGGGCGAGCGUUGUCCGGAAUUAUUGGGCGUAAAGGGUUCGCAGGCGGUUAGAUAAGUCAGAUGUGAAAGGCUAUGGCUCAACCAUAGUAAGCAUAUGAAACUGUCUAUAUUGAGUUAAGGAGAGGAAAGUGGAAUUCCUGGUGUAGCGGUGAAAUGCGUAGAUAUUAGGAGGAAUACCGGUGGCGAAGUCGACUUUCUGGACUUAAACUGACGCUGAGGAACGAAAGCGUGGGGAGCAAACAGGAUU
rnacentral:rRNA from 1 species